rnacentral:rRNA from 1 species
UGAUGAAUAUUGGUCAAUGGACGCAAGUCUGAACCAGCCAAGUAGCGUGCAGGAUGACGGCCCUAUGGGUGGUAAACUGCCUUUAUAUGGGGAUAAAGUUAGGGACGUGUUCCUAUUUGCAGGUCCCAUACGAAUAAGGACCGGCUAAUUCCGUGCCAGCAGCCGCGGUAAUACGGAAGGUCCAGGCGUUAUACGGAUUUAUUGGGUUUAACGGGAGCGUAGGCUGGAGAUUAAGUGUGUUGUGAAAUGUAGACGCUCAACGUCUGAAUUGCAGGGCAUACUGGUUUCCUUGAGUACGUACAACGUUGGCGGAAUUCGUCGUGUAGCGGUGAAAUGCUUAGAUAUGACGAAGAACUCCGAUUGCGACGGAAGCUGACUGGAGCGCAACUGACGCUUAAGCUCGAAGGAGCGAGUAUCAAACAGG